UGGGAGAUAUUGCACAAUGGGCGCAAGCCUGAUGCAGCAACGCCGCGUGAAGGAAGACGGUUUUCGGAUUGUAAACUUCUGUUCUUAGUGAAGAAGAAUGACGGUAGCUAAGGAGCAAGCCACGGCUAACUACGUGCCAGCAGCCGCGGUAAUACGUAGGUGGCAAGCGUUGUCCGGAAUUACUGGGUGUAAAGGGAGCGCAGGCGGGAGGCAACAGUCAGUUGUGAAAUCCAUGGGCUUAACCCGUGAACUGCAGUUGAAACUGUUCUUCUUGAGUGAAGUAGAGGUUGGCGGAAUUCCGAGUGUAGCGGUGAAAUGCGUAGAUAUUCGGAGGAACACCGGUGGCGAAGGCGGCCAACUGGGCUUUUACUGACGCGAGGCUCGAAAGUGUGGGAGCAACAGGAUUAGAUACC
rnacentral:rRNA from 1 species